AUGUUUCUGCUCUAUUUUGCAUUUUUCCUUAAAAAAUGCUCAAUAUAAGACCAACUUCAUUAAAUUAUAAGUCAAGUCACAAACCUCACUUUGCAUUGUUUGAUCAUGUUACUAGCCCAAUUUUCAAAUCCACUUGAUACACAACACCUCCAACAUUUAAAGCAUUCAUGAUAUAAUAAUUCACUAUUUUAUUAUUACUUUGAUAUUCCGCAGUGCAACUUAUAAAAAGAGUUAAAACAUUCCACAUGCAAAAAUAACCCUUGAGCUGCUUGCACAGCCAUGUACCUUGGCAAUCAUUCAAACGCCCCUGCAAGAUUAACUUUUUAGAAACAACAAUUAAGACUGCACAAUUGCCAAGCAACUCAAUCUACGAGAAACCAUCAGCUUCAGCCCAUCUCGAAAAUGAGCAUAACAUUGUCAACAAUGACAAGUAGGAUAAGUAAUCCAAUUAUCAGGCGACCCUUCAUCCUACAAUUUAGCGCCGCCUUCCACAACGAU